GCCAACCCGCUCCGGUCCCCUUCUACACUGUUGUAGCUUUGUUCUUUCGCUCUUUGCAAUAAAUCUUGCUGUUGCUCACUCUUUGAGUCUACAGUGCGUUUAUGAGCUGUAACACUCACCACGAAAGUCUGCAGCUUCACUCCUGAGCCAGCGAGACCACGAACCCACCAGAAGGAAGAAACUCCGAACACAUCUGAACAUCAGAAGGAACAAACUCCAGAUGUGCCACCUUAAGAGCUGUAACACUCAUGGCGAGGGUCCGUGGCUUCAUUCUUGAAGUCAGUGAGACCAGAAACCCACCAAUUCCGGACACAGUAGUAUCUCGUUAUUGUUUUAAUUUACAUUUCUCUAAUAAAGAUCUUAAAUGUCU
rnacentral:lncRNA from 1 species